AACCGGCAUGUCGUGAUCAUUUGGGGGAUACUGGUUUGGAAGGCGUUAACUCCGGGAGGUAGGGACCCACCUACUUGGACCACUGAGAGCCAAGUACAGCCUAGUGGUCAGGAGCCAGCAGCAUCGUCUCUGGCUGUCUUUGACCAGACCCCUUCACCAGCGCCAGCGCCGAGGCGUCUUGCCCGGAAAUUCCCAGAGAGUCAAAGCAAACUUCCCAGGAAAACUCCUCGGCUUCCUCCAAGCCUCUGUCACCGAGGCGGCUGCCAAGAGCGCCAGCGGAGUCUUUGCAGCUGCCGCGGGCCCUCCAGGGCGGGAGCCGCCGCUCGAGCGCUCGGGGUCCUCCCGGAAAGGUCCGGGGCUGAAGUUCAAAAUUCACUUCCCGCCCAGGCCGGGCUCACCGCCCCGCCUGGGACUCUCCGGCAACCCCUACGUCUCCGGCCCUCCCCAGCUCCAGUUAAGUCCUGGAGCGCCUCCAGCCUGAAGACCCAUGCGGGCAGCUGGGCGAAUCCCGCGGGCGAUCCCUGCGCUCCUGGGGACGCGAAGCAGCAAGAGCCGGCGCACACACACAACCUUGUGUGCUGCCACCGCUCUCCACAAGGACCCGGGUUUGCCAGGGAGGAGUCGCCACUGCCCAGCGUUGUUGGAGGUAUGAAGAGUCGCUACAGAGAAUCUUCACUCCUUACACCAAGACCUAAGAAGUUGGUCCAGCUCCGAACCUCCCAACCCCUGCAGACAGAUAGCCUGGAUUCGAGGUUUUUAAAAACCCAGUUUAUACGGACCUCUCUUAAGAACCUGAUCACCUGUAGCUAGAUGGCUUCCUGAUGUCUCCGACCACUCCCUAAUCCUGUCAUUUGCAGCCUCUCAAAUAAAUCUCUUAUUUUUUCCUGUCGUGUUAUAUGG
rnacentral:lncRNA from 13 species